rnacentral:rRNA from 2 species
GCUAUACAUGCAGUCGAGCGGACAGAAGGGAGCUUGCUCCCGGAUGUUAGCGGCGGACGGGUGAGUAACACGUGGGUAACCUGCCUGUAAGACUGGGAUAACUCCGGGAAACCGGAGCUAAUACCGGAUAGUUCCUUGAACCGCAUGGUUCAAGGAUGAAAGACGGUUUCGGCUGUCACUUACAGAUGGACCCGCGGCGCAUUAGCUAGUUGGUGGGGUAAUGGCUCACCAAGGCGACGAUGCGUAGCCGACCUGAGAGGGUGAUCGGCCACACUGGGACUGAGACACGGCCCAGACUCCUACGGGAGGCAGCAGUAGGGAAUCUUCCGCAAUGGACGAAAGUCUGACGGAGCAACGCCGCGUGAGUGAUGAAGGUUUUCGGAUCGUAAAGCUCUGUUGUUAGGGAAGAACAAGUGCGAGAGUAACUGCUCGCACCUUGACGGUACCUAACCAGAAAGCCACGGCUAACUACGUGCCAGCAGCCGCGGUAAUACGUAGGUGGCAAGCGUUGUCCGGAAUUAUUGGGCGUAAAGGGCUCGCAGGCGGUUUCUUAAGUCUGAUGUGAAAGCCCCCGGCUCAACCGGGGAGGGUCAUUGGAAACUGGGAAACUUGAGUGCAGAAGAGGAGAGUGGAAUUCCACGUGUAGCGGUGAAAUGCGUAGAGAUGUGGAGGAACACCAGUGGCGAAGGCGACUCUCUGGUCUGUAACUGACGCUGAGGAGCGAAAGCGGUGGGGAGCGAACAGGAUUAAGAUACCCUGGGUAGUCCACGCCGUAAACGAUGAAGUGCUAAGUGGUUAGGAGGUNUUCCCCCCCCUUAGUUGCUUGCAGCUAAANCNNUUANAGCACUCCCNCCUGGGGGAGGUACGGGUC